CGAAAUGCGAUAAGUAAUGUGAAUUGCAGAAUUCAGUGAAUCAUCGAAUCUUUGAACGCACCUUGCGCUACUUGGUAUUCCUUGGAGCAUGCCUGUUUGAGUAUCAUGAAAUCUUCAAAGUAAAUCUUUUGUUAACUCAAUUGGUUUCUACUUUGGUAUUGGAGGUCUUUGCAGCUUCACACCUGCUCCUCUUUGUUCAUUAGCUGGAUCUCAGUGUUAUGCUUGGUUCCACUCGGCGUGAUAAGUUAUCUAUCGCUGAGGACACUGUAAAAGGUGGCCAAGGUAAAUGCAGAUGAACCGCUUCUAAUAGUCCAUUGACUUGGACAAUACUUUUAUGAUCUGAUCUCAAAUCAGGUAGGACUACCCGCUGAACUUAAGC
rnacentral:misc_RNA from 1 species